ensembl:snRNA U2 U2 spliceosomal RNA
AUCGCUUCUCGGCCUUUUGGCUAAGAUCAAGUGUAGUAUCUGUCCUUAUCAGUUUAAUACCAUCGUGGUAGUCCCUGCCUCUAGGCCACUGCCCAGAGGGCCCCCUGGGAUCUGAAUUCUGGCUUCUCUAUUUAGCAGAUGUGUGCCUUGGACAAGCCACGUAACUCUCUGGCCUCAGUUGCUUCAUAUAUAAAAUGAGUAGUAAGAGAACGUACU